rnacentral:lncRNA from 1 species
AGGUGCCUCAUCCAUAAUGGAAUCCAGGAAAUACUCGGUGAAUGAAGGAAGGGAGGGUGUCCAGGCCCUAACUGAUGUGGUCAUUUGUAAGACAGUGAUGUUCCUGUUUCUUUCAGUCCGGGGAUCCCGAGCUGUCCUGCAGCUAUACCCUGAGAACUCAGAGCAGUUGGAGCUGAUCACAACCCAGGCCACAAAGCGCGGGCUUCUCCGAGUGGCAUGGUGGUGGACUACCCUAACAGUGCCAAAGCAAAGAAAUUCUACCUCUGCUUGUUUUCUGGGCCUUCGACCCUUUAUACCAGAG